UACCUGCAGCUCGAGUGGUGGCCGCUAUUAUUGGGCCUAAAACGUCCGUAGCCGGUUUAAUAAAUGCCUGGGUAAAUCGUGUAGCUUAACUAUACGAAUUCCGGGUAGACUGUUAGACUUGAGACCGGGAGAAGCUAGAGGUACUCCUGGGGUAGAGGUGAAAUUCUGUAAUCCUAGGGGGACCACCAGUGGCGAAAGCGUCUAGCUAGAACGGGUCUGACGGUGAGGGACGAAGCCCUGGGGCGCAAACCGGAUUAGAUACCCGGGUAGUCCAGGGUGUAAACGCUGCUUGCUUGAUGUUAGUUGGGCUCUGAGCCCAAUUAGUGUCGGAGAGAAGUUGUUAAGCAAGCUGCCUGGGAAGUAUGGUCGCAAGACUGAAACUUAAAGGAAUUGGCGGGGGAGCACAGCAACGGGUGGAGCGUGCGGUUU
rnacentral:rRNA from 1 species